rnacentral:rRNA from 1 species
AGUGAACGCUGGCGGUAGGCCUAACACAUGCAAGUCGAACGGCAGCACAGUAAGAGCUUGCUCUUACGGGUGGCGAGUGGCGGACGGGUGAGGAAUACAUCGGAAUCUACUUUUUCGUGGGGGAUAACGUAGGGAAACUUACGCUAAUACCGCAUACGACCUACGGGUGAAAGCAGGGGAUCUUCGGACCUUGCGCGAUUGAAUGAGCCGAUGUCGGAUUAGCUAGUUGGCGGGGUAAAGGCCCACCAAGGCGACGAUCCGUAGCUGGUCUGAGAGGAUGAUCAGCCACACUAGAACUGAGACACGGUCCAGACUCCUACGGGAGGCAGCAGUGGGGAAUGUUAGACAAUGGGCGCAAGCCUGAUCCAGCCAUACCGCGUGGGUGAAGAAGGCCUUCGGGUUGUAAAGCCCUUUUGUUGGGAAAGAAAAGCAGCAGGUUAAUACCCCGCUGUUCUGACGGUACCCAAAAAAUAAGCACCGGCUAACUUCGUG